GUGCAAAAAAAGAACACCUAAAGACGAACUCGUGACAGCAAUUAUCGGAUAAAAAUUAAGCUAAAGGAUGGAACGUACCGUUAAAGCGCCAGCGUAUGGGGUGCCAUCGUAUCUACCUGUUUCGACUGGGAGGUUAUGGUUAGCUGUUCUGAUUUUGAACAGGCUACUUCGCUCCCGCUGAGGCAAAAGUAUCCAUAGGUCAGAAUACGGAGCACAGUGUGGUCAAAGAGCUUUAUAAUGAGGUCGAUUGGGAGGCUGGUAUUGUUUGCCCUUGUGAAAAGGAACGUUUGAAGUGCUGUGUUGUGAAAAAUGGACUGUAGUUCGCUGGUUAUAAAUUCAACUGUUUCCUUGGAUUGAGGGUUACGCAGAGCGCCUCUCCCCCCUUGGGCCUAUUUGUGAGAGUUCGAGGGAUUUGCAAAGCUCGUGUUCAGGGGAUCCAAAUGAACAUCGUUUUCAUUAGUGUUUGUGUGAGCAGUUUGGAGAGUUCUGGAAUUAACACCUGCUGCAGAUCGAUCAGUGUUUGUUUGGGUGUUUGUUGACUUUGAUGUCCAUGGGCGCUGGAAAGCGGAUUCCCCCGAGGCAGACGAUCUUUGGUUUAUCGGGGCUUGUGUGCGUCUUCUUGCUGGAGCAGGAGAUUCAGAUUGAGGACGCCUGGAAAUGUGUGUAUGUCCAUUUGACGAGGAGGUUAUUUUGUUGGUGUGGGUUUCCUGGACUGUUGGAUUUUAGAGCUGCAACGAUUCACCAACAGCUCGAUUCGAUUUCGAUUUCAGACACUCCGAUACCGAUUUUUUCGAUUCGAUUCAUCUUCAAACCUAGUUUUAUCAUAUACUAGUAUUCACUCUUAUGCCUCAACAUUAAAAUUUCUGUUCAAAUGUGAUUUCAAUAAAACACAUACAAAAGAAAAGCAAAUUAGGAAUUUUAAUAUAAAAACUUCUGACUAGAAGAUUGUGUUGAUUACACAAUAAUAUAACAAAUAAAUAAAUAAUCAUAAGAACUAAUCUGGAAUCAGUUGAAUGGUAGUACUAUCACUAUUAUACUUUUACCCAAAACCGCUAUAAGCAUGUCUACCAUUGUGACAUGACAGCAUAACCUGUUACUUGUAGGACAAAUCUCAUUCUCUAAUAAACUUAACAAAAUUCCAACAGAAAUAGAACUACUGUUCUGGCUCGCGACUUCAGUAGUUGCACUUGUGCGACCUCUUAGUCUUGCUAAAUCAACGUUAUGUUUGCGUUUGACAUGUUGCAUUAGAUUAGUUGUUGAGUCGGACUUUGCGUACGCAACAUCCGUGAAGCACAGUUUACACUUUGCUUUAUCGGUAGGGCUACCAUCCCGAAACCCAAAAUACUGCCACACUUUUGAUAUUAGCUUCUUAGGCGCAUCUGAUAAUUUCAAUUUGUCGGCAACAACUUGUUCAGCCAUUUUGACGCUUUUUCCGAAAGUAGACCGUAACGCGCUUAUUGAUUGGAUGACUAAAGUAAUAAUCAACCAAUCGCGCGGAUCGUAAUUACAGGUAAAGAUAAAACCUUCACCUUCCCGUAUCAAUAGUCAGAAUACAUCGUGCUUUACGUAUCUAUGUAUAUAUAUGUAUAUAUGUUAAAGAAUCGAUUCGAAUUUGGAAGGUUUGGUAUCGUAAUCGAAUCGAAGCAUUUCGAAUCGAUUUUCGAUGAAUCGGAUCGAAUCGUUGCAGCUCUAUUGGAUUUGGGGCUCCUUCAUAGUGCUCUAUGGACUGUGUAUUGUGGAUUUGACUGUGCUGCGUGACUUGUGGAGUGGGCACCUCAUCGCCAGAAGCGGACUUAUGGUUCCCUUCAAAUUGUCGGGAUUUUGAACUAAGUGAUUUUGGACUAUAGUUGCUGUUUGGAGAAUAGUUGUGCUGCGUGGCAUGUGGAAUGGACGUCUCAACGCCAUAAACGGAUUUGUAAACUUCGUAUCGGUGGGGUUUCAAACUAAGUGAUUGGUGACUAUAGCUGCCGUUUGGAGAAUGGUGGGCAUUGGUCGUGAUUCUGUCGCCAUUUAGGACUUGGCUCCAAUCAGGGAACAUGUCUGCCACGACACGACCAUCUGCCACUAUCUUUGCUGGGAAGACAAUGCUUAUUUUGCUCUUUGGAUGCAUACCACGGAGUCUUUUGAGCUCUGGCCACAGAGUUUUGCGAGCAUUUACAAUCUCUUUUGGGAAGUCUCUAUUUAUGUGAAAAUUUGUAUUUCUUAAUUUAUUUGCAUUUGCCAAUAUAAGCUCUGUGUCUCUAAAGUCAAGGAAAUAAACAAUGAUAGCUCUUGUAGAAUUUGAGCGGAAUCUACCUAGCCUGUGUGCUCUAGGGAUUGCAGGGCAUGGGUCAAUUUGGAGUUUGUCUUUCAGGAACCUGGCAAUUAAAGAAUGGCAGUCUUCACCUUUCAUUUCAUCUAUGCCACCUAUAAUUAGGUUAUUUCUCCGGCUUCUUGCUUCUAAAUCAAUUGACUUAUAUUCGGUCUCACAUCAUGUUGGUAUACUGAAUUUUCUAUAGAUUUUACUUGGUUGUGUAAGCUCAGACAGUCAUCAACUUUCUGUUCAAUACUGCUCAUCCGUGCAAACAUUACACACAGUUUAUCAUCAGUAUUUAGGCUUCCAUAUUCAUGUUGUGAUAUUGAAUGCUUCUCACCUUGAGUACUUUGACUGCCCGUGUUUACUCGUGCCCGUUUUCUUGAGUCGGCCAUUCCUUUGUUUGCUAGAACGUUAAACUGGUGUU